GGCGGCGUGCCUAAUACAUGCAAGUCGAGCGCAGGAAACAAGCUGAUCCCUUCGGGGUGACGCUUGUGGAAUGAGCGGCGGACGGGUGAGUAACACGUGGGCAACCUACCUUGUAGACUGGGAUAACUCCGGGAAACCGGAGCUAAUACGGGAUGAUCAUUUGAAUCGCAUGAUUGAAAUGUAAAAGUGGGGAGUAAUCCUCACACUAUGAGAUGGGCCCGCGGCGCAUUAGCUAGUUGGUAAGGUAAUGGCUUACCAAGGCAACGAUGCGUAGCCGACCUGAGAGGGUGAUCGGCCACACUGGAACUGAGACACGGUCCAGACUCCUACGGGAGGCAGCAGUAGGGAAUCAUCCGCAAUGGGCGAAAGCCUGACGGUGCAACGCCGCGUGAACGAUGAAGGUUUUCGGAUCGUAAAGUUCUGUUAUGGGGGAAGAACAAGUGCCGUUCGAAUAGGGCGGCACCUUGACGGUACCUCACGAGAAAGCCCCGGCUAACUACGUG
rnacentral:rRNA from 1 species